GUAUUUUGAUACAGCUGGGCAACUUAAGCGAGAUUGAUGAAAGCCGAAUUGGUCUAAAGCCAGAUGUUUAUAAAAUUAUUGCUAAAUAUCGCUGAUUUUAUAAUAAAAUAGAUAGUAACUAUGGGUUGCAAUGAUGUUGAUUCAAUUUCAAAAUUGGAAAAGGACCUUGCUCUUUUAAAGGAAGAAUAUAAGAAACUUCAGCGAAGCUAUGUAGAAUUGGAGCGAAAAUAUAAUGAAGCUAUUGUCUCGACUUCAGAUCCGGAGUCCACAGGAGAAUUUAGCAGUUUUGUAUCAAGACUGGCACUGACGACGGCGUCCUUAUAUGGACGCUCCAUAUAUUCCGAUGUGAACAUUAAGACCAGUUCCAAUGGGACAAUAAUGCCGGCCCACAAAUUCGUACUCCAUGCCCGAUCGGACAAAUGGCGUAACGAGACAUUAGCCACUGCCAAGGAAUUAGAUUGGAGCGACUUGGAUGAGGAUAUAGCCACAGCGUUGCUACGCUGGAUUUACACAGAUAUUAUUGAUUUGCAGCACGAUCGAUUGACAUUGGGUCUGCUGAGAGUGGCGCAUCGUUUUUCCUUACCUGGCUUGCUCGGGCUUUGUGAAAGAGCUCUAGUGGCUUCUGUGGGCGUACGAUCUUGUGUCCGAUUCUAUUGUGUGGCCGAAGAAGUGGGCGCGGCUAGCUUACUUGAGUACUGCUCCGGCAUUAUAUCCACGCACUGGGAUGAUCUAACUGCACAGGAUUUCGAGCACAUGUCUGGACCGCUUCUAUACAAAAUGCUCAAAAACAAAACCAAAUAUCCCCUACACUCAGCAGUCCGACUUUUGCGCGAAGAUGUCGUUUGCUUAUGCCUUGCGGAAAAUAGUAAUUCGUUGCCCGAACUAGUGAAUAGUUUGUCUGAACAUGGACAGUUACCACUGCAGAUGGCAUUGUCGGCGAAAAGUGUUCAAAUUUCCCAGACUCUGGUAAAUAAUGGAUCUGCAAAUGUGAAUGCCUACGAUGCCAAGGGAUCUACGCUUCUUAUAGAUGCUGUAAAAAAAGCUGAUAGUUUUGCAGCAGACUUUUUAUUAAAUCACAACUGCCUUGUUGAUCUAGUGUCCAGGUCGUCAUCCGACACAGCCCUUCAUAUUGUAUGCAGCUAUGGCGAAACUAACGAAAAUCAUGAAAAUGUAUCCCAGAUGAUUGAUAUCGGCAAGAAAAUAUUACAGCGCAAGGCUAAUGUAAACCUUCAAAAUAGCCAAGGCCAAACGCCGCUCCAUAUUGCAAUCACAUCUCAAAAUAAGGCUAUGGUGGAGCUAUUACUUGAUGUGCCCAAUAUUGACAUUAACUUGCGUACCAAUGAUGAGAAGUGUCCUCUUGAAUUGACGUUGAUUCCAUUUAAUAAGGAAAGCGUCAACCUUGCUGCGAAACUCCUGAAGAUGGGCGCCAACCCGAAUCCAUUAAAGUCUGGGACAAAUAACAACCUGCUGCAAGUGCUUGCCAUGGGUGGAAGAGAUUUUGAAGAGGCUGCAAUAUUUUUGACUGACUUUGCUGACCUUGAGCAUCUUAACAACUCUGGCUUUUCUGCCAUCCACAUCGCUGUCCAAAAGAACAUGCCGAAUCUUGUGGCUAAGCUUCUUGAUGCAGGCGCUGCCCCCAAUAUACAAACGACUUCCGGCAAUAUGAAGUCGCCCCUACACAUAGCUGUGGAACAAAAUGCUCAGGAGAUUCUUGAGACGUUUGUUAACUUCAGCAAAAACAAUUCUGAAAAAGUCGAUUUCAACGGCAGGGAUGCUAAUGGCGACACGCCUCUAAGCUUAUGCUUAGCCCUUAAUCGCAUUGAAUUAGCUCCAAUACUUAUCGCUGGCGGCGCUGAUGUGAAUGCGCGUAAUGGACAGGACUUGACUUUGUUGCAUCAAUCUAUAAUCAGCGGCGACAGCGAGAAAGCCGUUUUUCUGCUGGACCAAGGCGCCGAAAUUAACGCACUUACAGGUGAUCAAAAGUCUGUCCUUCAACUGGCUAUCGAUUCCCACCUGCCCAAGGUUGUUGACGUAUUAUGCAUUAAGGGCGUGGACCUCAGUACCUUGGACAGCUCAAGAGAUUCACCUUUAUGGACUGCUCUAGAAUUGGGAUUUGAGGAUGUUGCGCAAAUUUUAGUUCGCCAUGGUGUUGACACCGACUGCUGGAGCCAAGGACCUGAGGGCUGCCAGCAAACGCUGCUGCACCGGGCCAUCGAUGAAAACAAGGAGGCCACAGCAAUGUUUCUCGUUCGCAAUCAAUGCGACUUAGACUCGCCGCGUCAGCCGGGUCCAAAUGAUGAGGGUGGCGACGAAGCGCGUGACAAAGCCUCGCCCUUGCAUCUCUGCUGUCAAUGGGGUCUGACAAAGGUUGUGCAGGCACUUAUAGAUCACGGCGCCAAUGUGAACGCUGUAGACGCUGAAAGCAAAACUCCAGCACACAUAGCUAUAGAAAACCAGCAUGAAGACAUUAUAAAUAUCCUGUUGUGCCAUCCCGGGAUAGAUCUGAAGCUGCGGGAUAGAUCCGGUCUGACGCCUUUUGCGACUGCUCUGGCCAUCCGUAAUCACAAAGCCGCUCAGCGCAUACUCGAGAGGCUGCCAAAUGCAGCCGAAAUAAUGGAUAAUCGUGGACGCAAUUUCCUGCACAUGGCUAUAUUAAAAGAUGACCUAGAAAGUGUUCUCUUUUUGUUGGCUAUUCAAGUAGAUGUCAAUUCACGCGUCCACGACGCCUAUCAGUCCACUCCACUUCAUCUAGCAGCUGCGUCGAAAAACGAAAUGAUUAUACGUAAUUUAAUACUAGCCGGCGCUCGAAUCAACGAACGAGAUGCUGUCCAGAAAAUGCCGCUUCAUAUAGCAAUCGAGCGUGGAAAUCUUGCGGCAGUUUCGGCGAUGAUCCAAAAUAAUGCCGAUUUCGAUGCAACUGAUGCUGAUGGAAACAAUGCCUUGCACCUUGCGGUCCACGGGGGUCAGCUGGCGAUAGUCCGAGAGCUGCUGACCGAAUCACGCGUAAAUGCGGAGGCAACCAAUGCGAGGGGCCGCAAUCCGUUGCACGAGCUGUGUCGCGUUGGCGAAGACAAUUCCGGUGCUGCCAUUUGUGAACUGUUUCUUGAGUGCAUGCCGAAGUAUCCGAUUAACGUGCCCGACAUGGACGGCAACACACCCCUGCUCCUCUCGUAUAUGCGAGGACAAGCUCCACUUUGUAAGGUUCUUGUAAAAGCGGGCGCUUGUCUUGGGGCUCAGAACCGAGAGGGAAUCAAUAUUUUCAAUUACAAACUAGCGACAGAUCAAUUGCUGACUAAAUUGUUGGACCAACUGCCUCAGGAGUCGCCGUGGGCAGAGUCCGAGCUGUGCCAAGAGUGUGGCUUAAAGUUUUCGCUGACCAUAAGAAGGCACCAUUGUCGACACUGUGGAAGAGUUUUGUGUUCCAAGUGUUCCAACAACGAUGUACCCAUUGUCAAGUUUGGCAUUAAUAAACCCGUAAGAGUUUGCAAGGUGUGCUUCGAUGUACUUCAUGGAGGCAGCUAAAAUAAUGAGCAAUAGUUUGUAGUUUGCUUUCGGAAUAAUGAUAAAAAAGUAUUUGAUUUAAAAGGCAGUUUAUACCAACCGGACUAUAAGCAUCUUAGAGAUAUUAUAUUAUAUAUAAUACAUUAACGAAAACGAUUAUUAAAUCCUAUCUAUAUGCAUACAUAUACACAUA